rnacentral:rRNA from 1 species
UUUGGCGACCAUACCACGUUGAAAGCAUCGUUUCUCGUCCGAUCGCCGAAGUUAAGCAACGUUGGGCCCGGUUAGUACUUGCAUGGGUGACCG